GGAGAGUUGUCCGAGCGGUUUAAGGUGCGAAACUCGAAAUUUCGUGUCGGUUUAUACCCGACCUAGGGUUCGAAUCCCUAACUCUCCG
rnacentral:tRNA from 1 species